UGAGCAGUGGCCUUAGAGGUUCCCAGCUCUGCUUCCAGCUCCUCCAAUCAGAGGCCAGGCAGCUUGACAUGAGGCCGGGGCUCCAGGAAGGUCAAGACCCCUAGCAGGCUGGAGUAGUGCCACCACUGGUGGCUGUGUGGCAAUGUUUCUGCCUUCCACGUGGGAGAUCUGCAUUCAAGUUCUAGCUGGGGUGUCUUGGGGUGAAUGAAGA